rnacentral:rRNA from 1 species
AGAGUUUGAUCCUGGCUCAGGACGAACGCUGGCGGCGUGCUUAACACAUGCAAGUCGAACGGAAAGGCCCCUUUGGGGGUACUCGAGUGGCGAACGGGUGAGUAACACGUGAGUAACCUGCCCUUGACUUCGGGAUAACUUCAGGAAACUGGGGCUAAUACCGGAUAGGAAUCCUUGCUGCAUGGUGGGGGUUGGAAAGCUUCGGCGGUUUUGGAUGGACUCGCGGCUUAUCAGCUUGUUGGUGGGGUAGUGGCUUACCAAGGCUUUGACGGGUAGCCGGCCUGAGAGGGCGACCGGCCACAUUGGGACUGAGAUACGGCCCAGACUCCUACGGGAGGCAGCAGUGGGGAAUAUUGCACAAUGGGCGGAAGCCUGAUGCAGCAACGCCGCGUGCGGGAUGACGGCCUUCGGGUUGUAAACCGCUUUCAGCAGGGGCGAAGCUUUUGUGACGGUACCUGCAGAAGAAGCACCGGCUAACUACGUGCCAGCAGCCGCGGUGAUACGUAGGGUGCGAGCGUUGUCCGGAUUUAUUGGGCGUAAAGAGCUCGUAGGUGGUUGAUUGCGUCGGAAGUGAAAACUUGGGGCUUAACCCUGAGCGUGCUUUCGAUACGGGUUGACUUGAGGAAGGUAGGGGAGAAUGGAAUUCCUGGUGGAGCGGUGGAAUGCGCAGAUAUCAGGAGGAACACCAGUGGCGAAGGCGGUUCUCUGGACCUUUCCUGACGCUGAGGAGCGAAAGCGUGGGGAGCGAACAGGCUUAGAUACCCUGGUAGUCCACGCUGUAAACGGUGGGUACUAGGUGUGGGGUCCAUUCCACGGAUUCCGUGCCGUAGCUAACGCAUUAAGUACCCCGCCUGGGGAGUACGGCCGCAAGGCUAAAACUCAAAGGAAUUGACGGGGCCC